GAAACUUGCAGCGAACUUAGUGGAGUGAUUUUAGUUUUCUUUUUUAAUUUUCCAAAUUGAGUUAGCCUUUUCUUGAUCCAAUACACACUCACGCAAGCACUUUUUGCUCAGUUUAUGAUUUUCUGGUGUACAUACACACUGAUUACGCAUCCAAUUGGCAUUAUGCUCUUAGUUUUCCCUAGUUUUUUGCACUAAGUGAAAAUUUUUCGUGAAAAGACGCAAGUUAGGGGCUUUUUGGCAGAUGUAUCGCGGUGGUACAGUUUUCAUUGUCAUGUCUCAAAUUAGAUGCAAGGUGCUGAGAUGGCCAUCUAAAGGGUAAAAAGGUGUUAGCAAUAGCUUUGGAGAUCGGUUCGAAUGAACGAGGAGAGUAGAACGUUAUGAAUCGUUUGAACCGUUUUCUAAAGCAAAAAGAAAUUCAAAAAACGUUGGUUUCCUUAUAAUCGAACGGCUAAAAUUGAUUUGUCUUACGCGCAGUAAGCCAAAUAAGAUUAUUUGAAAGCCACAUGCUGAUUGUUUUACUGGUUGACUCGUUUGCCAAGCAGUGAAACGAAAUGAAACAAACAUAAAACGCCAGAACAAUCUUAAGACGCAACGUUUUACAAGCCGCAAUGAACAAAAAAAAAAAAAAACAAGGUCUUAAAAGGCAUGCAAAAUGUUGCGAAUAAAGCAAACAUAUGGGUAACGUUUUACGCGCCUUAACCA